UUACCAGAGCUCUGAACCUGUACUAUUUAGAGCACAUUAAUUUCAUAACCACUUACAACAUCUUCACAUCUGCCUUAACUGUAUGACAUAGCGUCUUCAAGAAAAGCCCUACUAAAGACUCUGGAAUAGAAAUAAAUGUCAGGGAUUUUCAGAUUUUUCUCUUAAGUGGAGAAUUCUUUUGGCUUUUAUUUAAGCUAAACAGGAAAAUCAAAGAUGACACACAACAGCUCCAAAAGUAGAAAAAUAUUUAAUUAUGUUCUCACACUUGUGAUGAGAACAUAAUGUAUAUUGUUCUACUUUUGGAGCUGUGGUGUGCCAACUUCGAUUUUCCUGUUUUAAUUUUUUUUUUCGUGGUUGAGCACCUGCAUUGAGCUUUUGGCCGGCUGGAUGCACAUUGAUUGGAAUCUUCUAUUUAAACUAAAAAUAAACAACAACAACAACAAAACAAUGGGAAUAAUUUUUUUUUGUGUUAUUCCAUGAUAUUAAAGCCUUAAAACUGGGGAAAAGAGCAGCUUUAUGAAUCAGCUUUAUGAAUGAGUCCAAAAUAAACUUGACUAACAGAUAAUGUGUUUACUCAGGGGUUUCGAUUUGCAUCAGUGACUCUAACCGUUCGACCUCAGUUCCUCCUGUGAGCCCAUACAGACCCCAGAGAUGAUCUGAGAGUCACUCCACAUUGAUUAGGAGCUCAGCUGAUAAACACCAUCUGUGACCUCAGGUGUUUAAAAACAACUUUCCGCUCCUGAGAGAAAAAUGAAUCAUAACGGAUCAAAUUCUUCAUGAUUCUUUGAUGGACAGAAAUUUCAAAAGAACAGCAUUUAUUUAUAAAUCCUUUGUAACAGUAUCAAUGUCCUUACUGUUACAAUAAUAAUAGUUUACUGAGUUUGCAAUCACAAGCAAACAUUUCUGUGAAAUGUCGAGAGAUGUGAACAUUAAUAUUCAUUACUGAAAUUUCCCUGACUUUUAAGACUUAAUUAACAUGGCAUUUCCCACCUUUAACAUUCCCUAAUAAUUCAUGAAAAUAGUUUUCCAUGACUGCAGGAAUUCAAAUAUUAAAAAAGGGACUAAAAUGUUCUAGAUGGAAGAAAUUGAAAUUGUUGUUCUAAAUAAACAUACUCAUG
ensembl:lncRNA